CAUGGAGAUUGGAUCAAGGUGGUUUAAUUAUUUAAACCAACCUAAUUGAACCAAAUAAGUUAGGUCCAAUUAGACUAAUUUAAACCCAACUAAAUUAGGCUUAAUUAGGCUCAAUAAAAUCCUAAUCAAAUCAGAAAUUGAUUAAGCCCAACCCCUGAUCAAAUCAGGGAUCAAACCAUCUCGACGAUUAGGUCAACUCUUAACCUAAUCGGGUCAAACCCAACUGAAUCCAAUUCAAUUGGACUUGAUCCAAAAAUAAUUACUCAAUCAAAUUGAGUUAAUUAGUGAUCAAAUUACUAAUUAAAUCUCUCAUAAAUACUGAGUCCAAAUCCGAUGGACAAUCAGGCAUCAAAAUUCAUCGAUAUAUAACCCUGAUCGAAAAGUCCCAACUAGUGGGACUCUUGACCUCGGUACCCAUAAUGUGUGGAACUCGUGAUCAGAGAAUUCUAAUUCUCAAUCACUGAGUUCCAAACAUGUAGGAUUCUACAUCAGCCAUC
rnacentral:lncRNA from 1 species